GUGUUGGAAUUAUUGUGUACCGUGGGCUCUAUUUUGGAAUGUAUGAUUCUCUUAAACCUGUGGUUCUGGUUGGUGGUUUACAGGUAUGAUUUGGGGCACAUUUAACUCUUUUAUUUAAUUAUUAUUCCAUCUUGUUGUAGCUUUUGUUGAUGGUCUGCAAGGAUGGGUGUGGAAUAGCUAUACCUGUGUUAUUUGGAAACCUUGACCACCUAUGGCAGGCAAAUGUUUUGAACUUAAAUUGGAAAUCAUGAUCAAUUUAUGUGUUUACCUCUUAAAUAUUGGUUUGUCCCCUACUUGUAACACUUGAUUGAUGCUGCAAUGAAGCAAUCUCAAUGCCUACUAAGUAGGGUACUUUUUUUUGUUUCAGUGGUGUUUGAAUCUGAAGGUAGAUAGCAUGUUCAAUGCCUUGUCUUUAUUUUGGGUAUCUACAGGAUAGCUUCUUGGCUAGCUUCUUGCUUGGAUGGGGAAUCACAAUAGGUGCUGGAUUGGCCUCAUACCCUAUUGAUACAGUUCGAAGAAGGAUGAUGAUGACCUCAGGAGAAGCUGUGAAGUACAAGAGCUCUUUGGACGCAUUCUCACAGAUUAUCCAGAAGGAAGGUGCAAAAUCCCUCUUCAAGGGAGCUGGUGCAAACAUCCUGCGUGCUGUGGCAGGUGCUGGUGUGCUUGCUGGUUAUGACAAACUUCAGCUCAUUGUCUUCGGCAAGAAAUAUGGAUCUGGUGGUGGUGGCUAAUAAGAUUUCUGGUUGAAAUGAUGACGAUAAUGAUGAUGAUGAAGAAGAGG
rnacentral:lncRNA from 1 species